UGGACCUUCUAUUUCUCAGUUUCAACACGAGAGUGCAGCAGCUCCAAGGAACGACUGAUGUAUUUGUUUACAGCUGGUUGUGCACUCAAAAUGGCUGCUACCAGAAGUUAGAAAGAUAUGAAUGAAAUAUUAGCUGACGAGCAGUUGGAAGUGCUUCUGAAGGACAGUAAUGCCGAAUUAUCUGAUGGGGAAGAUGACAAAUUUUCAUUUUUGACUGGAGAUUUUCCUGUUGAACCUGAAGCCAAUGAGGAAGAUAAAGCAACAGUAGAUGAGACUGUGGAUUCUUCUGAAGAUGAUCCCCAAGACGUAAUUCUUGUUCCACAACAUCUGCCAGUGCGAUCUAUGAAGUGGAGGAGGAAAGAAAUGACGUAUUCGAACCUUGUGAGAGCGAAAUCCAUCUUCCAGGUUAUGAAGAAGAGAAAGGAAUUUUUGAAUCUUUCCUGGAAUACCUUCCUCUGACAUUCUGUGAAGAACAUGCACAACAAACCAAUUUGUAUUCAGUUCAAAAACGACAACAUAAAUCUGUUAACACUAGUGGAGAAGAAAUGUUGCAUUUAGCUGGAAUACAUGUUGUUAUGGGAGCUCUGGGCUAUGCACAAAGUAAGCUAUACUGGCAGCAAGAUACUCAGGUUCCAGUUAUUGCUAAGUGUAUGACAAGAGACAGUUUCUAUGAACUAAGAAAUUAUAUGCAUUUUGUGGAUAAUACAAGUGAGCACAAUGAGAAGCUUUGGAAGGUAGAACUUUUCUUGAUUGUGUGCAGAAGAAGUGUCUGACACUUCCAAGAUCACAUCAUCUUUGCAUUGACAAACAGAUGGUGCCAUUUUCUGGUAAAUGCUUCAUUCUGGCUGCACCUGAUGGCCCAUUGUUGGACUUCAUGUUUUAUACUGGUCUCGGUGCAGCAGUUGUUAAGAUGAUGACAGAAAGUGUUCCUAGAGACAACCAGCAUUGUGUAUACACUGAUAGAUUUUUCACAAGUGUAAAAUCUGUAGACAUGUUGCUGGGAAGGAAAAUUUAUCAGAAAGGUACAGUUAUGAAGAACAGAUUGGGUCCAAUAGUGAAGAAAUUGAAAAAUGACAGGCUAUUUCAAUGGGGGGAAUGGGAAGAAUAGGUUAAGGAAGAUGAUAAAAUUUGUCUUAUUAAGUGGAAAGACAAUAAAAGUGUCCUAAUACUCUCAUCAUGUGAUGGAAGCAGCCCUCCAACCACAUGUAAGAGGUGGUCAAGAGAACAGAAAAAGGAGAUAGAUGUUCCUCAGCCAGUGGCAGUGAAGCUUUACAAUGAAAACAUGGGGGGUGUUGAUCUCUGUGAUAGAUUUUUGUCAUAUUACAGAUGCUACAUUCGCAUAUCAAAAUGGCCUGUAAGAAUGUUUAAUCAUUUUAUAGAUAUUGUGAUUGUCAAUUGUUGGGUGAUGUACCACAGAUGGUGCUCAGAAAAUGAAAUACCCAAACAAAGAAAGUUGUCACUGAUGGAUUACAAAAUGCACAUAGGCAAAGCUAUGAUUAAUUACAAAUAUGUUGAACCUGUAGCUAGAAGAAGAGGGCGCCCUUCUGUAGUCAAUUCCUCUUAUAGUGAAGAUGUAGAUGAUGUACAAGAUACAGAUAAAAAGCCAAGAAGAGCUCUGUCACAACCAAUUGCAAAAGUUAGGUUUGACAAUGUAGGCCAUUUACCAAAAUUUGUUGAGGCAAAGAACACCUCAAAAUGCAGGAAUCAAGGCUGCAGUUACCAGACAAGGGUCAUCUGCAUCCAAUGUGAAAUGUAUUUGUGUGUCAUGAAAAAUAAUUGUUUUGAAGCCUAUCACAAAAAGUAAAGAUUCAUUUAUGGGCAAUAUCAAGUUAUUAUUUGGCAGAAAUUGUUGCAUGAUUUUUCUUUCAUUUGUCGAGUAUCAACAGAAACCUGUAUUGGAAACACUGUAUUUAAAAAUACUGAAAUUAAAAUACUUAUUUUCUGUGUAAAUUAACACAUGUAGUUAAGUUUACAGUAAAAUAAUUAUAUUGUUGAAAAAAAAACAUGUUUUUACUGAGGAAGAGAGAGAAAAAUGUAAUCACGGACAAGUACAUUAUCAUGAUAACUGUGACCCGAGGUCCACACAUGUGGACCUCCAUUUAUGCCCUAGUGAAUAACCAAUUGUUUUUUCUUUGGCAUAUGUGUCAUGCUUGUAUACUAGUUUGUUGGAAAAUAUGAAAAGAAAAAUUUCCUGUAAUUUUUUUUCAUCUCAGGAGUGAAGAGGCUAAAGAAGUAUUGUGAUUUUCCAAAAGUUCCUGCUAUAAAAUCCACGAGACACUGAAAAUAGAGAAGCAUCAUGUUGACUUCAUCACCUGAGAAGGUGGCUACUGAAGAAAAAAACUUAAAGGAAAAGGUAAAACUGGAAGAAAAAGAGAAGAAAAGUACUGUGAAGAUAUCAACAAGCAGAAACGAAGUAAUGUGAAAGUAAAAGGGCUUCAACUGAAAGUUAUCAGCAAGGCAACAAAUAUACCUCAUCUGAUGAAUCAGAGGGCAGUACACCUCUAGCUCUUUCUUAUCUGAGGGAUGUUGUGAUUGGCAAUUAUAUUUCGGUAAAAUUUUCAAGUGAUAUGUUUUUCAUAGCUGAAGUAGUGAAGCCAAUAGGUGGUGGUGGUGACUAUGUGGUCUCACACCUUCUAAAAAGUGAAAUAAAAAACCAGUGUUGCUUUCCCAAAAGCAGAAGACACAUUUUUUGCAUCAUGUAAGGAUACUGCAAUGACUGUGUCUUCAGCAUUGCCUAUGGCUAUGAAAAGACUAUAUUAGAAUGUCAGUCAAUUUUGGCAGACUUUAUGUUCACUGGGCAAAACAUAUUGUAGCUCAAAGUAAUUGAAUUAAAUUUAACAUAUCAAUGUUUUAUGUGUGAUCCAAGCUAUUCAAGUAUUAAUAAUGUAAAAAAAUUAUAACUCUUUCAUUGUGAGCUAUACACAGUAGACAGUGAAAUAUUUGCAGCAUAUUUUUUUUUUUUUAAAUUGUAAGUUCAUUUGUUAAUUAGCUGCCAAAUUAUAUUUGUUUUAUUCUAAAAUGUUGGCAAAGCAUUGUCCUUUUCAAUGCAUACAAACAUUUUGUUCUGCAAGGAGUAAUUUCCCCAAAUUCUUCAAAAACAUAAUUUUUGUUUCACUGUGUACUAUCAUACACUAGAAUAUUUCUGAAUGUUAGUGUUAUUUCUAAACUAUGAUUGACUGUUGAGAACAAGGUUCACAAAGGAGUAAAUGUGCUGUGAGGCAGUUGUUAAUAUGUCCAUCUGUUCAAAGAUCUGUCUGCAAGAGAUUUUAGAAUGCAUGACACACAUUAUGCAUGUAUUACAUAAUUCUGUGCAACAACCAUUUUUUUCCUCAAUAAUGAGUUACCACAGAAUGCGAUACCAUAAGAAAUUAGUGAAUAAAAAAGUAAGCUAAAUUUUGGACAUUUUCAUUUCCAACGUCUGAUGUUAUUUGUAACACAAAAGUUGCAAAGCAUACAUGUUUAAGAUGAUCUGUAACACAUAACUUCAGUUUUAGCUUUAAUCAAUACAAACAUUUAAGAAUUCAGAAUAUUCUGUUCCAUAUAUCCAUUUGCCAUUAUGUAUUAUUUCUGAUCAUGUUGUCAGACCCUGUGUGGUACUGAGUUGCAUGUAUAGUGUUUUAUCUAAAUUCAUUGAUAGCACAGCCAAUUACUGAUUUUCAAGAAAAUAUUACUUUUGUUUCCAAACACUGAACUUAUUUCAUUAGGUCUGAUUAUAAAACUUGCAGCAUCAGCAAAGACAAUUGUACCUGUUUCUUGAACAACAAUGGGAAAUCAUUUAUACAUAACAAGAAUAGAUUCUUCUAUCCCUGUGGUAUAUCUGUCAUGAUUACUUCCCAUUCUGAAGAUGUUUCAUUGUGUACACUCCUCCAAUUUAUUAACACAACACUUUGCAUCACUUUAAUGUUGAGUCAUCAGUCUUCUGCCUGGUUUGAUGCAGCCCACCAUAAAUUCCUCUUCUCUACAGCUCCUUGUAGUACCAUGGAAGUCAUUCCCUGAUGUAUAUUAUUUUUUAAGUCAGUUGUAUGCAUGAGUUGUUAAGCUGACUCUGUGGUAAUUCUUGCACUUGUCAGCUCCUGCAGUCUUCGGAAUUGUGUGGGUGAGAUUUUUUCGAAAGUCAGAUCGUAUGUCACCAGACUCACACAUCCUACACACCAAUGUAAAUAGUCGUUUAGUAGCCACUUCACCCAGUGAUUUUAGAAAUUCUCCUGGAAUGUUAUCUAUCUGCCUUAUUUGAUCUUAAGUCCUCCAAAGCUCUCUUGAAUUAUAAUAUUGGAUCCCCUAUCUCUUCAAAAUCAACUCCUGUUUCUUCUUCUUUCACAUGAGACAUAUCUUCCCCCACAUAGUGACCUUGAAUGUACUCUUUCUACCUAUCUGCUCUGUCCUCUCCAUUUAACAGGGGAAUUCCCAUUGCUCUCUUAAUGUUACCACCCUUACUUUUAAUUUCACCUAAGGUCAUUUUGACUUUCCUAUAUGCUGAUUCAGUCCUGCCGAUCAUCAUUUCUUUUUUGAUUUCUUCACAUUUUUCAUGCAAAUAUUUCAUCUUAUCUUCCCUGCACUUCCUAUUUAUUUCAUUCCUCAGUGACUUUUAUUUUUGUAUUCCUGAAUUUCCCUAAACAUUUCUGUACUUCCUUGUUUCAUUAAUCAACUGAGGUAUUUCUUCUGAUACCCAUGGUUUCUUUGCAAUUAUCUUCUUUGUACCAAUGUUUUUAUUUCCAACUUCUGUAAUUGCUCUUUUUAGAGGAGUCCAUUCCUCUUCAAGUGUACUGCCUACUGAGCUAAUCCUUACUGCUGUAUCUACAGCCUUAGAGAACUUCAACCGUAUCUUUUCAUUCCUUAGUUCUUCUCUAUCCCUUUUCUUUAUGUACUGA